rnacentral:rRNA from 1 species
GCACUAAGUCACUUUGUCUUUAUGGCAAAUGUGAGAUGCAGUGUAUGGAAUGUUCAAUUUCUAGUAUGAGAAAUUAACGAUUUAAGUCCUUCUUAAAUGAGGCCAUUUACCCAUAGAGGGUGCCAGGCCCGUAUAACGUUAAUGAUUACUAGAGAACAUUUCCAAAGAGUCGUGUUGCUUGAUAGUGCAGCACUAAGUGGGUGGUAAACUCCAUCUAAAACUAAAUAUAACCAUGAGACCGAUAGUAAACAAGUACCGUGAGGGAAAGUUGAAAAGAACUCUGAAUAGAGAGUUAAAUAGUACGUGAAACUGCUUAGAGGUUAAGCCCGAUGAACCUGAAUAUCCAUUAUGGAAAAUUCAUCAUUAUGAUUGUGAUAUUUUUUUAAAAUAUUAUGAUAAUGGUGUGCAUUUUUUCCAUAUAAGGACAUUGUAAUCUAUUAAUAUGCAAUUAUUUAUCAUAAGAUCGAUGACUUAAGUUUAUUCAAAUUAUUUUGCUUGCAUUUUAACAUAGAAUAAGUGUUGUCGAUUUGAUAAAGUGUUGAUAGAUUUAUUAUAUAUAGUGCUUGAAUAUUUAUAUAUUCUAUAAUAGCAUGAUAAUCAUUGAUUUUUGUGUUUAUUAUAUGCACUUAUAUGAUUAACAAUGCGAAAGAUUCAGGAUACCUUCGGGACCCGUCUUGAAACACGGACCAAGGAGUCUAACAUAUUUGCAAGUUAUUGGGAAUUAAAAACCUAAUAGCGAAAUUAACAUAACUUAUAUAAUGGGAUUAGUUUUUAGUCUUUAAAGUCUAUUAAUUCAAUCCCGGGGCGUUCUAUCAGUUAUGUAUUUUAAUAUUUAUAUUAUUUAUUCCUCUAACUAGAGCGUACCUUGAGCAUAUAUGCUGUGACCCGAAAGAUGGUGAACUAUACUUGAUCAGGUUGAAGUCAGGGGAAACCCUG